rnacentral:lncRNA from 1 species
GAGAGUUGGUAGUUAGACAGAGUUCAAAUUCUAAAUGAACAAAAAAUAGAUGUGAUAAGUGUUCCAACUACGUUUUAACAUGGAUAAGAAUACAUGAUAGUCUUGGAAAGCAUUAAUAACAGCUAACCAAGGUUGCGUGCCAACUCUCAUGCACUGUCAACCUCGUUUGAUCCGGAGUUAUGGUUGACUAGCACAUCCCCUAGUCUCUUAAUCAUUCACUGGCGUGGAACUAAUAACGACUUCGACACAUAAAGAAACACUAAGAUACGUUAUACCGCAUGUAUGAAUAAAUUUCAUAACUGGCUUAGCAGUCUUCCGAACAGUUGAUGCACAUAUAUUGACGGACCGUCCGACUGUAAUAUGGCUCGUACCACUUUCUUUAUAAUAUUUUAUAUUCUAGCUGGAACGGCAACUAGUGUGGAAAGUUUCCCAUCAUCAAUCAGUAAGUUGAAGUAACAGUCAAGAUAUUUUUGCUGUUCGUUCAAAAUUUUCUUGCAUGUGCCGAAAUAUGCAUUUAAAUUCUUACCCAUGUAUAUUUUAAUUUUAGGUACUUCUUUGGACGGAGACAAAACAGGUAUUGAAACCAUUUAUGAAGUUUAUUUACUAAACAACUUUAUUUAUUCUGGAUAGCUUUAUCAGUUCAAAACUGUUCCCCCAAGAAUAUCUGUUAAGAUUAUUCCAGUAAGUAACUUAUUUAUUCUGGAUACUGCUGUAUCAGUUCUAAACAUUUCUAUAGAUUCCAAUGAGACCAUCUCUUAGAGAUCUUUUGUUACUUCAUUGGCAGAGAUGCAAUGCAACUAAAUGAAAAAUUUAUAUUUUAUUAUAUUUUUCAGGUAGUACGUUGUUAAUUACAUUUAGUAUAAAUUUUGCAUAUCAAAUGAGCUUUCACGCGUUCUGUUUGGCUAGGUGACUAGUAAAUCUGACGCAUUAUUUACCACCGGCAAACUGCUCCAUUUACACUGCUCGGAGUACUCCGGAUUUUCGGAACACUAAUGGAAUGGAACAGCAGAGAGUCACAUGACUGUUCUGAACUGUUCUGACUACCGCGAUUUUCGAGUAGGGGCAGUCAGAACAGACACGUGACACUGCCUAUUUUCACGUGAUUGGAAAUGGAGGCGACAUAUUUUGUGUAUUCAAUGCACACUGUAUAGAACGUUAUAAGGGUUAACCGCUAUAUUUCAACAUACACUUAUUAAAUGCUGUUUGAACGCCAGGCCAACGAGUAAAAACGUUGCAAAAGCAUAUACGUAGAUGUACAAAUAACAGCGAAUCAUUCAUACACGCUUUAUUAUGCGAAUAACUAAUUAGUAUAGGUAAUCACACGGGAAGGAGUGCAAUUAAUGAUUAACACUACGAGUGAUAUUUGAAAAAUGUGCCAAAAUUGCAGGAGCCGCCGGAUUAUUGAUUUAUUAUAUGCAUGACAAAAUCGCUUUCUUUAUAUUUCAACUGCAUUUUGUCAUGAGUUUUCAAUUCUUUUGUAAGCAAUUAGAUAGAAACAAACUUGGGAAAUGAUUAUAAACUCGUAAAGGCACAUAACUUAACUAGAACGCAAGAUUCAAACUCAAACAACAUAUUUUAGACUAAGAAAAUCUUUAUAAAUUUAUUUCAAAUUUACAUAGUCACGUUUCGCUGCAUCCCGCCAAGAUUAUUUCUUAAGACUGUUUCCAGGUUUUUUCCACAGGCUCUUUUUGCCAUACAAUGUUUUUUAAACUCAUUCUUGUGCCAAAAUUCAGUUAAAAUCGUCCACAUUUGUUAGAAAUACUUAUUUAAAUUUCGCCGCCAUAUUGUAUUUUGUUGAUUUGAUUGCCCACUCCCCCCAGCCAUCAGGAAAAUCAUUAAUUGCAUUCCUGGAGAGUGCUAUUAAUGCCAUAAUAAUAUACAUAAAGAUAUUACUCGCCUGUGAUUGGUUGAUUUCAGUGCAGUUAAUCCCAAACAGCAGUGCAAUUUUCUGUAAUCACAGUGCAAUUUUUUGUAAUCACAGUGCAAUUUUCUGUAAUCACAGUGCAAAAAUCUGUAACAAACUGAUCUGGUUGGUGGAAAAACAUUGUGAUGAUUAAAUCAACCAAUCAGUUUAAAGCAGUUUAGUUUUAAAGAAGUAACGGUCACAGAUUGCUUCAAAACAAAACAAACAUGGCGCCGCGCUACACAAAGUAAAAGUUGCCUUCGCGUGGAAAAUAUGGCUUUUAUCUUUAUUUUUAAAUGGAAAAGCAUUUACCUUAAACAAGACUAACAAAAAAUACACAGUUGAGUGGAAUUUUCAAGCUGUUAGCGUUGUAUAAUGUGAUAAAACAAAGCCAGGAAAACUUUGCCAGUGGAAUGUUCGCUAUAAACGCGUAAGUUAAAACUACAAUAAUUGUCUCGAACAUUUUUAUGUAAAUUAUUAAUAAGUAAUAGCAUGGUUUCUCGUGAAAUUUGGAUAAACAUGCACUCGUGAGUUUUUCAAAGACCUCAAAUAGCAUUUUGAGGUCUUUGAAAAACUCACUCGUGCCUGUUAUAUCCAAAUUGCACUCGAAACCAUGGUAUUACCUAUACUAAUCAUACGAGUGACUACAAAAUCAACCGACCACGUAGCGGUAGUCUAGGACCUGUAUAGAUGUUUGUAUGCAUUUCAUUUAGCACAGGUAAUCUCAACUGUUUUAGGGUAAAAUGACCAUGGGGGUCAACAUGGCAUAUGUGCCACAAAACCGGAAUCCGGGGCGAAAGUCCUGAAAAUGACCCCGCCCUGAAACGGCAGUGCCGACAUAGCUCUAACUUCCGAAAAGCACUGAAAAGCGACAGCCUUUCUGAAGUGCUUAUAGUGUUUAGAAGGGUUGCUUUUAGGGGUGGUCAUUGGAAGGAAAAAUUUGUCUGAGUAUAAUAUUUUACCGGAAAAUGACUAUGCACCACCUCAGGUAAAUUGCAGAUUAUGCACAAAAUAACUAAUAUGCCUGGCAGAAAUUUAAUGUUCUUAUUUCCUAAAAAAAAUUAUCAUGGGAUGAAAAACUAUGCUUAAUUUAAUAUAAUUAUUGUAGUUUUCAUAAGGAUUGUCAUUGUUUUCUUGAAAUAUAAUACAUUUUAAUUCACUCAUCCCCCACGAAAACACUAUUUCAGCCAUUUUUUGCUGUCUUGUCUGCUUUUUAUCGCCGAGUCUCGCAGGUGUCAUCCAGUUGUUGUACUUUUACAUAAUGAUAGAUGGCUCAAGACGAUUUCGACGAAGUUUAAUAAAGUUUUGAAACAGUGCAGUAUAUUUUAUCUUCGAUAUUGUGUCCUUCGAUAUUUCGUCAAAUUGCCGCAAUGUUAAUGGCUCGCCGCUUCUCUGCCCGAUAAAUGCCACUUCUUCGUCUUCCUAUGUGUUUAGACUACAGUAUCCAAGAGUACUUCAUUGUAGAAUAGUCCCAAUCGAAAGAAUGAAAACAUUAGUUGGGUUUUCAUGCCAAAACCCUCCUUCGCGAAAACUUCGCGAGACUCGGCGAUAAAAAGCAGACAGCAAAGAAUGGCUGAAAUGGUGUUUUCGUGGGGGGUGAGUAAAUUAAAAUGUAUUAUUUUUCAAAAAAGCAAUGACAAUCCUUAUGAAAACUACAAUAAUUAUAUUAAAUUAAGCAUAGUUUUUCAUCCCAUGAUAAAUUUUUUUAGGAAAUAAGAACAUUAAAUUUCUGCCAGGCAUAUUAGUUAUUUUGUGCAUAAUCUGCAAUUUACCUGAGGUGGUGCAUAGUCAUUUUCCGGUAAAAUAUUAUACUCAGACAAAUUUUUCCUUCCAAUGACCACCCCUAAAAGCAACCCUUCUAAACACUAUAAGCACUUCAGAAAGGCUGUCGCUUUUGCUUUUCGGCAGUUAGAGCUAUGUCGGCACUGCCGUUUCAGGGCGGGGUCAUUUUCAGGACUUUCGCCCCGGAUUCCGGUUUUGUGGCACAUAUGCCAUGUUGACCGCCAUGUUCAUUUUACCCUAAAACAGUUGAGAUUACCUGUGCUAAAUGAAAUGCAUGCAAACAUCUAUACAGGUCCUAGACUACGGGAGGUUGAUUUGUUAAUCACGAGUAUGAUUAUUAUGGCAUUAAUAGUACGACUUAAUUCGUUCUAUUACUUAUUAAUUAUUUAUCUUCUGUAAUCAAACUGUUUAAGGGGGAAAAGCACAAAAACACACUUUGUCGAAAUUCAAUAUAAUUAUUAAAUUUUUGUCACGACAAUUCUUCGUGAAAUAGUACAAUUUUGAAUUAAAUUUAUCAUAAACAAAUUAACAUAUUAUUAACUUCCGGGUAUUAUUUCUGGAAUAAUCACAUGACAACAUUAUUUGAAUUAUUCAACACACAAUUGGGAAGCCAUGUUUGCAUGUUUAUAUAAACGUGUUCAAAACAGUGAAGUUCUUUAGUUAAUUUUAAUCAGAAUAUGAUUGAAAUAUAACUCCUGGUUGUGUCUAGUUCGGUGUCUUCUGCUGGAAGAACAGAUAGGUCAUUUUCGUCAGAAAAUAUAUAAUAUAACUAUAAGUAUCGACAUUUUCCCCAAGUUAACCACGAAUACCACUGAAUCUUUGAUUUUUAAGAGAACAGGAUUUUUUUUUUUUUCUUCUGUUGGUCAACUAACUUUGUUUAUAAAUACAGGGUAGCUCUACAAGUUCUCACUAGACCUUUCAAAUGUUCUACUAUACGAAUCCAUCAUAGGUCAUACUUUAUUGAACCAGGGUUACUGCAGGAGGAAUUGUAAACUAAACUAGCUUUAUUUAUACUGAAUAGCUUCAUCAGUUCUAAACUGUUCUUCCUAGAGGUCCGGUAAGGAUCAUCUCUUAUUGAGCCAGUGUUACUACAGGAGCAAUUGCAUGUAAACUAAACUAACUUCAACAAGACUGGAUAGUAAACAGUUCUGCUUCGUGCAGUGCUACUACUUACUACUAGAUUGUAUAGAAUGUCAAUGCUGGUUAAUAAUUAUUUUUGUAUUUCUAGUGAGAGCAUCAAAAAAAUCUGAAGUGGAAAUACUUCAAACAACACUUGGUACAAAUAGACUUGGUUAAUUUAAAACAUUUUUGAAUUUUUUACAACCCUUUUUGUGAUGUUUAUUGUAUAUGUACGGCUCAGCUGCAAAUAGUAUGUGACUGAUACAGCUAUACGUAUAUCGCACAGCACACUCCCUAUCAUGAACUUCAGUCAGUGACUGGUUACAUUAGAACCGGAGCAGGCGUGAAGCAGACCGAAUUAGACUAUCACUCGUUUUGAGAAAAAGAAUAUUUGGGAUAAUCGUAGCAGUGAAUUUCUUUUGAAAUAUUAGAUCACGUGAAAUUUUUCUAGCUUUGUGCACGGUACCCUGCAAAAACGGUGGAGAAUGUGUGAAUCCAAAUUCCAACGAAUGCCGCUGUCCAAUAGGAUUCCAGGGACAGUAUUGUGAAAAUUGUGGGUUUAAUUAUUUUCAUAGCUUAGGUAGCAUAAAUUAAGCAAGACUAACCAUACUUUUCACCAAGAUAAAUGUCAUCACAUAUGUCUGAACGGUGAUAUAUUUGUAUACUGGUAUAAUUGACAAAUUUCUCUUGUCAAAGAGUCUUGUCCCAACGCUAGGCAUACCUGCUUUUGGGCAAUGAAAAUUUGUUUGUGCGUAUAGCCGGAAAUGAAAACUACGGUUUUGGGAAACACAAGGCCGCCUUAACAUGAGCUAAAUGUUUAAAACAUUCCGUGCACACGAACAACAAAACUUGUCAGGGAAACUUAAAGGAACUGUUAAGGCUUUUCAAUGAUGGUUUUUAAGGUCAUUUCAGCCCUCUUAAUUGAAUGAAAAUCUUUUAACUAGGAAAAUCGAUUAUACAUAAUUCAAGAUCCGUAAACUCAAUGUUUUUAACAAUAAAAAUGCUUUAAAAUGUUAAAAGCAUUAAGUUUGCUGAUCUUGAAUUAUGCUUAAUUAUUAAAAUGGCAAACAUCACUUCCUGUGAAAUGGCAGACUGUGAUUGGCUGAGAAGCACUUUCAGUGGUCCAUUAUUUUCCCGUAAUGGACGAGCGAUCCAUUACGUAAAAACAGACGCAUUCAUUUUAAAACAAAACAGCACACCUAAUAGAAAAUUUGAAAAUUAUAAUUUUAUUUCUUAUUAAUAAGAUAUCUGCGAAUGGUUUUAAUUGGAAAGGAAGGAAUACAUUGCUAUUUUUUGUUUUCGUCGAUCAAAUGUGUACCACGCUACUAAUAUGCAUUUUAAAUCACGGCUUUCUUGUUUGAUUCGACUAUUAAUGCCUAUAAAUGCCUAUAAAUGCCAUAUAAUAAAGUUUUUAUUAACCUCGCUUACUCAGCCUUUACAGAGAAAUAUCGGUACUCGGUCUUUUUGUAACAAAGGUCACCCUACGGGCUCGCUCUGUACAAAAAAGACCUCGGUCCAACGUUUACCUGUAAAUACAUCGCGCUCGGUUAACAAGAAGUUAUUAAUUUUCCUAGUUAGUUUUAUCAAUUAAAAGGGCUGAAAUGCGCCUUAAAAACUAUCAUUCAAAAGCUGAACUGGCCUUUAAGAAAAGAGGCAAUAAAAUUAAUAAGUCGAAGUAUAGCCCUCUGCAUGUUAUCAAAUCUAUGCCAAAAUCAUUCGAUUGUAACAAGGUCAAAGGCACUUCUAUGCGUGAAUUUACGAUGUACCACUGUAUAUUUUACCAAUAGACAAAUUAGAGAAUGAAUAUACAGGGUGUUCCCCGGGGAACAUGGGGUGGAACGUUAUUCGUGUAGACCACGGGAGACAACACGCAUGAUGGCCGACAGAAGAUGGCCUACAAAAUAAUACUAAGGAUUGACGAAUAAUUAAAUUUCAAACAGUGAUGAUAUUUCCCUCGGGGAAAAACCCCUUAGGAAAUAUCAUCACUUCGGGUAACAUUUAGCCGAAUCGCCCCAGGGGAGGGUCUAUAUGAAUGAUAAAUGUUUAAUUUAAUCAUCAUAAUACAUCACGCGCCAAAAUUAUGACACGAAAAUAUUACUGUCUUGAAUGAAAGAACUAACUGUAACCAUGAGAACAAGAAACUGAGAAAUAACUUAUAAUAAAUAAAUAGUUUCCAUGUUUUCUUUGUUCCUGAGAUAUCUCAAUUUGUGUGAUAUGUGAAUGAGUGUGAAUAUGACGGCUAAUUUAUGACGUCACAUUGUUUGCAAGCCCAACUUACACUGGUUAUAAAUCUCUUGACUUUCAAAACUGUAGAUAUCAGUUCACGUUUUUCUCCAGAGUAUCAUCAGAUUUACCAGUGAGGGAAGUAUGAAAUUAUAUCAACUUCAGUGAUGGCAGUGAUAUUCAACGAAUUUGAAGAACUUGCAACCAAUGUGACAUCAUAGAUUAGCGGACAUAUUCACAUCAUUUACAUAUCAAACAAAUUAAAAUAACUCGGAAACAAACCAUGAGAACAAGUAACUUGAAAAUAAGUCAUAAGUGAUACUAUAGUUUCGGGAGUUCUUUCAUUCAAGACAAUAAUAAUAUUCGUGUCAUAUGCACUUUCACAAGAUAUUUAAGCUUGACUUCAUAGAUUGCCGUGUAUUACCGUUGUAUGUAUUGAAACAACGGUUUAGUGAUUUUUUCUUUGAUUUUUUGCUCAUGAGUUUAAAUAUGACCCCUUAAUCUUUAAUAAUGUUAACAUUAUGUUGCAAAAGUAUCGUAUUUCGCCAGUCAUCGCAUUAUUUAACUCCUUCAUUUUGUUGAUUUACUGCGCAUGACAUUCAAAACAGGAGUCAUUGCAGCUGAGAUAAGCAACUAGAAAUGUUUUAGUUUUUCUUUUCUACAAAAAUUUGUUCGCAAUCCUAAUGACAUUUUCUUUACCUUAGAAAACCGGCAAGGACCAGUUGAUGAUGACGGCCGGCACGGUAGAUUUGAAUUAAAACAUUUUCUAGUAUACAUCUUCUUGAACUAGACUAUUUUCUAGUACAUUAGAAUUAAACUAUUUUUUAGACGCACGGGUUUCACUCUGAAAGCCCCCCCCUUAAAGAGCAGAAUUUAAUUGUGACCCCCCUGCAUAUUAGAAUAUUUUUCUUGACCGCCUCCCCCCCCGCCCCCAUUUUCAUUUUUAAUCGUCAAAUGGAGAUUCCCAUGCCAGGCGUUAUAGUGUUACUAAUUAUUACAUAAUAACAUGGAACUGAUAAGAUAUUAACGUCGACCAAAAAUAUAUAUCAGCAGAAAAUUGUAAUUAAACGAGAAAAAUUAAAUUAUUUUUAUAUAUAAUACUAAAAUCAGGUUUCCAUUUGGUCUGGCGAUCGUAACCAUGUCAUGAUAGCUGAUGCGGUAAUAACACAUUGUCAAUUUAUCUCUGCAAUCGGUAAAAACCAUUGGUAAAAAACUGAUUAGUAUAGAGCGCACAAAAGACAAGUUAAAUCCAGACUAUUUCAUAUCGGUGACCAUGAUUUAGUCGCUACAUUUGUAUACAACCAAAAUUACCAAAUGGAUUCCAGGCUUAUUAAGCAAAUUCCUUCAAAUUUAAUUGCAAACCCCUCAUUUUCAAUCCUUGAAAAAAUUUAAUAGCCCCUCUUCUAGUCAUUUAUUUACACAUAUGCCCCUCACUUAUUUUUCCCUCCCCCCCCCCUUCCAUAAAUAAUGACCGGUCCCUAAUCUGAAUGAGAAAAUAUUUAUUAUUUUCAUUAUGUUUAGUAGUCUUGUAUUUGCAAGUCUUGAUAUAAAUGGGAGACAUUCAGACUACGUUUACACUAGAGCAAAAGUUUCCGAAUUUGUAAUAUUUACAAUAAAAACUAUAAAGUAUUACUAAAAAAUUUACCCUAUUAGUGAUAUUAUGCACUGUUUUGACCCUGUUUGGCGGUUGAAUUUAUUAACAAUGAGUUGAAAAAUAUAUACCACAACAAGUCGAUUAAAAGAUUCUUCACGGAAAGCCGUUUAGACGAGAGUUUUCUCCAGAUUCAAAUGUUUCCAGAUACGAAGUCCCACAAAUGGUUUCGGAUUCAAAGUUUCCGGACACGACACGAAACCGAGAAGAUUCACUAUCGGAUUCGUCGCUGCGUGUGUAAAUGGCAAUAUGAAUUCGGUUUUGUCAUAAAUCCGAAAACUUUCGCUCUAGUGUAAACGGCGUCUUAAUUGUCUUGUUAGUGUCGAAAUUUCUGUAUUAAACCACGAUUUGCGAUCCUGCAACGCUUAAUGAUACCCAUCCUUGCAAAAGUGCGUCUGAAUUAAAAGUCUGAUCAUUUUAUCCAAAAUUUAUUCCAUUUUUAUAGCACCUCCCGUAAUAGCCAGACAUUUAUGGAUCUUUGCCCAUAUCCUGAGUGGCCAUAUUCUGGGGGAUGUCCUCCUUCAUGUCCAUGGUAACACCGUGGCAAGGAACUUUGCCACCAUAUUCGACGGUUCAACCUCUUGGGUAGGUACAACCUUGGGUAGGAGAGACUGUUUGAUUGCUCCUACUAACUGCAGAGAUGGUUUAUCUAUUGGCUUCAAGAUCAAGUUAACUGGGCUGACUAACUCCCCGGAACAGCGAUAUAUUGUUGAUACUGGUGUUCUCAGCAUGGAUACUCGUGGGAUUGCUAUAUAUAUGCAACAUGGUAAAUUGUUUUGCGUGGUGAUGACCAUGACAGGAGAGUGGAAG